rnacentral:lncRNA from 1 species
AGCGGGCUAGGGAAAAAAGGGCGGAAAAUGCAGUGUUGGCGAGGAGCUGGAGUUCCCGGCCUGUGACCUGGGCCGCGUGCUGGACACAGGCCCUGUUUGCCGAGGGGCGCCUCCGUGUCCCGCCAGAGGUGUGCACACGGGUGCACCGACUGCAGCCGCCGGGAUCCUCACGGCUGCACCUGGGAUGGGCCUCGGGGGAGAACCCAGAAGGCCUCCCGCGGCAAACCGCGAGCAGAUCUCACAGACCCUCCAAUGACCUGCAGGCAGCAAUGGAAGCAGCUAGACGUCAAAACCAGGCCAGCUCUUCAUUCCCCGUGGGGGCAUUAAAGAUGCUGUGAGCCUCAGAUGUGGUCCUUGCUGGCCUGUUGAGGCCCCUGGUAAUAUUCCUUUCUUUAAAUAUGUGUUCCUUUGUCACUUUUAAAGUUUAUCCUACUGUGUGUAUUUAUCUAAGCAAAUCAAACCUGUAUAUAUAUAUAUAUAGUGGGAGGUUUAAUAUCAGCUUAGUUAACAUUGUUACAGAAAUGAGAAGUCUUGCGUUAUAUUUUAUAUCAAAUUGAUUCUGAUCUGAG